AGAACUGGGAGUCUGGUCCUUUGCAGCACUCUGAGGAGAUUUUCCACCCUUCUUCAUAGGGUGGGGAGUUGCUAUAUGCACACCUUUUUUACCAUCUACAAAACAUUAAUUCCAUCAAACAGAUCAGAUCAAAAGCAUAAUUUGAACAGUGUUGUUUGCUCCAAUAUAUUGUCUGCUGUUUUGCUCAAUCUUCUAUCAUCAUAAACUCAUUCUUUUUUAUCUCAACACACUAACCCCUAAACUAUAUCCUAUUUCCCAAAUCUCAUCUAGAAAACCCCUAUGAUCAGAUGUAAUUUGCAAUACAAUAAGAACAUAUAUUCUACUCUAUUUCAUCUUAUUUUAAGCUAUAUUAGGGUUUAAGAAAUUGGUUUUUAAUUUUUUUCGUUUGAUUAUUGAUGGUAGUUGUGACCAUAUAUGUUUUCUUUCUCUAUUUUUUCCAGUUACUGCUCUGGAUCAACCGUUCAGGAACAAAAUUGUAAAAGGCAAAGUCUCCAAAAUAGUUCAUAGAACCAUGUUCGCUGGUCUUUCUUCUCUUCCUGUUAACAUGAACAAGAAGAUGAAGAAGAAAGACGAGAAGAAGAGAAUGGGUGUAAUCCAGAUUUCCGUUAAUGUUUCAAGCUACGAAGAAUUUCAUAGUUUGCUUGAUCAGUAUGUGACUUAGGGAGGUGCACCAAUCUCUUUCAACAUAUCCGAAGAUGUGGAUUCGCCGUCCUACGAUAAAAUUCUGAAGGAACUAAUAGCUAGCAUCAUAAAGUAGGGACGGCGUGACAAAAUUCAACAUCCAAGAUAUCACACCCCAUUGCCGAUCGUGCCUUGUUGCACCCCAGAGGUGAUGAAAAAUCUUUACAAUGAUAUUGGCUCCUUUUGGACGGUCAUUAUUGGUACUGAGUGGGGUUUGCCUGAAGGCACAAGGAGGAAACUACUGACUGAGAUGCACAGAUUUCAGUCAGAGGCUGGGAUUAGGACAGCAGUUAUUGAUUCAUGACGAACAACUAUAUAUACUUGUUGCCUUGCUUAAAGACUAUAGUACUACUUAGUUUCUUUUCAUUUUGCAACUUAUUUCUAUGUGUGAACGCUUUACUACUCUGUGUGAUAAUUAUUGAUCUUUCAGCUA